rnacentral:lncRNA from 1 species
GACACAAAAUUUUCUGGUAUCAUUUAUUGAAUAUGUGAUAAAGAUUUAUGUGUAAUUUUCAGUUGUUUUUAAACACUUCAUAUGAAUGAAACAGGCGUUCUACUCAGUAAAUUUUGGGUCCAACAGGCAUAAAGAGUUGGGUAAAUUCCUGUGUUCUGGUUGAAGAUACUUCAUCAUGAGAAGACACUUGAUUUCAUUGGGACCUCCAAGCCUCAAAAGCCUUACACAUUUCCUAAAAGGGGCAUGACUAAUGGUGUUUUAUCCCAUUCAUCACUGGAAGUAAUCCCUUUAACAAGAAACUCUUCCUGAGACCUUGAAGAUCAGAUGUGAUUCAGUAAGGUAGAGAGGCAGGUGUGGAGAGAAUCAAACAGCCCAUCUUGAUAUCAUGCAAAGACUCUGGAAAUACAAUUCCAGUGAGUCCUGGCUAUAACACUUUUGAUGCCCACAUCACUAGCAGCAGUCCUACAAUCACCAACGGUAAG